UACAUAGGGAGCAAGCGUUGUCCGGAAUUACUGGGUGUAAAGGGAGCGUAGGCGGGAGUGUAAGUCUGUUGUUAAAUCUAUCGGCUCAACCGGUAGCUGCGGCAGAAACUACAUUUCUUGAGUGGAGUAGAGGCAGGCGGAAUUCCUAGUGUAGCGGUGAAAUGCGUAGAUAUUAGGAGGAACACCAGUGGCGAAGGCGGCCUGCUGGGCUUUUACUGACGCUGAAGCUCGAAAGCGUGGGUAGCAAAUAGGAUUAGAUACCCGCGUA
rnacentral:rRNA from 1 species